CCCCGCGCGAAUCGCCGCCCGCUGCGGCGGCGGUGCCUCCCCCGCAUGUGCUCCCGGGUGUGUCCCCUCGGGGACGGCCGGCGUCCCCCACCGCCGACCCAAGAAAGGCGAGCGCCGGCCGGGGGCGAGGAGCCGGCCCGCUACCGGGCGAGCGGGGAGGAAACUCCGGCGGGCGGCAGAGGCGCUCCCGGGCGGGCGGCGGGGCGAUCCCGCCCGCGGGGCCGGGGGGAGGCCCCGCUCCGCCCGGGGUAGCGCGCAGUGCUCGCCCGGAACCUUGUUGCCACGGGAGACGGGCGCUUUACGGCAGCGCAUUUGAACGGCGGCGAGGGAAAAGUUGCGCCCGCAGGACUCAGCGAGAACCAACAGCUGCACCGCCGUGACGCCGUUCCCACCGUGCGCGAAGUCUGCCGCACUCGGGCUUUCCUUGGUCAUACUUCCCUGUUUUACAGAGAGGAGGAGAGGUAUAAAAUUCUGUGCCUUAACGAAUAAAAAGAAGAGAACUGUUUUUCACGGAUAAUUAAUAAGCAACCUCUGUUGUACUUAAUAAACUUAUUUAAUGUAUAUAAAAAUUUAAACCAUCAAACACUUGCGCUAUUUAUUUACUCUUGCUUUUCACUUCAGGCAAUAAAAUAAUUUAGUAAGUUUGCUUCUA